UGGUAUGCUCGACUUUUGUGGAGGGCGGUAUUUAUUAGAUAACAAGCCAAUAUUCCUCUGGUCUAUUGUGGUGACUCAUAGUAACUGAUCGAAUCGCAAGGCCUGUGGCCGCGAUAAGUCAUUCAAGUUUCUGCCCCAUCAGCUUUCGAUGGUAGUGUAUUGGACUACCAUGGCGUUUACGGGUAACGGAGGAUUAGGGUUCGAUUCCGGAGAGGGAGCCUGAGAAACGGCUACCACAUCUAAGGAUGGCAGCAGGCGCGUAAAUUACCCAAUCCUGAUUCAGGGAGGUAGUGACAAGAAAUAACGGGCCGGGA
rnacentral:rRNA from 1 species